rnacentral:rRNA from 1 species
UCUUUAUGAUUAAAAUAAUAAGUUGAUUCUGCUCUAUGAUAAUUUUUAAAUGGCUGCAGUAUAUUGACUGUACAAAGGUAGCAUAAUAAAUUGUUUUUUAAAUAAAAACUAGAAUGAAGGAGGUGAUGAAAUAUAAACUUUAUUAAAUUUAAAAAUAGAAUUUAAUUUUAAAGUUAAAAAGCUUUAAUAAAUUUAAGGGACGAGAAGACCCUAUAGAAUUUUAUAAAUUUAAUAUAAUAAAUUUAAUUAAAUUUAUAUUAAAUUUAUUGGUUUGGGAGGAAAAUUAAAUUAAUAAACUUUAAUUAAUGUAAAACAUAAAUUUAUGAAUAAAAUUUAUUGAUUUUAAUAUAUUAAUUAAAAGAUUAAAUUACCUUAGGGAUAACAGUGUAAUAUUUUUUUAGAGUUCUUAUUAAAAAAAAUGUUU